rnacentral:rRNA from 1 species
AUGAGCGCCACCAGGCCGGACCACCGGCGGCACCAGUCGCCGUUCCUCCGGGACCUCUCCUCCCCGAUAUCCUCGUCCUUCCGCAUGCCCCCGGCGUCCGUGCGCCGCGAGGCCCAGGCCUCCACCCCGCCGCCGCCUCCCCCGCUGCUCUCCCUCGAUGACCUGUCCCGCCACUCCCCCUCGCCGCCGCCCCACACGCCUCCGCAGGCAGCCAUGUCCCCUUCGCCUCCUCCACCUCGCGGGGGGCUCUUCUCCACCCCGCAGCGCUCCAACGGCUCCCCCUCCCCGGCGGCGUGGUGGUCCCCCUCGAGGGAGGAGAAGGCCAGGGAUAGUUCCCCGGUCGACGGAGUCGUACAUCAGCAGCAGUCCCCGGCGACGGCCUCCGCUCAGCAGCCGCAGCAGCAGCAGGUGGCGCUGAUCACGCUGCCGCCGCCCAGGGAGGUCGCGCGUCCGGAGAUGCCGAGGGAUUCGGUGCUCUCCACUGGCCGGGUCGACGAGGAGGAAUGGGUCACCGUUUUUGGUUUUCUGCCGGUUGAUGCCAACUUUGUACUGAUAGAAUUUGAGAAAUGUGGGUUAGUCUUGAGACACGUUCCUGGUCCGAGGGAUGCGAACUGGAUGCAUAUCUUGUAUCAGAGCCGUCAUGAUGCACAGAAAGCGCUCGCCAAGCACGGCCAGCAGCUAAACAGUGUUCUUAUCAUUGGGGUGAAGCAAGUGGAUCCAUGGCAGCGGCCGUAUCUGAACGAAAACACCGAUGACACCUACAACGGCGGCAUGUCGGUUCCGUUUCCGUCGCAGGCCGUAGCGCCGAGCGGUUUCGCUACCAGGAACGCGUUAGCGCCUUUGCCGAGCAAUCCCAUGCAAAACAGCAACGAGAGCAACCGCGGGGCGUCCGGAGCCAUCGCUUCGCCCGCGAAAUCGGUCUUGUCCAAAGUCAUGGACGUGAUGUUUGGCCUCUAA